rfam:Gossypium raimondii chromosome 5, whole genome shotgun sequence.
AUUCCAUGAUGAUGGCACUUUCGUAAUAACUCUUUGUACCUUUCCCAUGCCUCAUAUAUAGGGACUCAUCAUCCAUUUGUUGGAAGGCAGUGAUCUCAUUCCUUAACUU